UACGGGGGGGGCAAGCGUUGUUCGGAAUUAUUGGGCGUAAAGGGCGCGUAGGCGGCUUUUCAAGUGACGGGUGAAAUCCCUCGGCUUAACCGAGGAACUGCCUGUCAGACUGGAAGGCUUGAGACCGGGAGAGGUGAGUGGAAUUCCCAGUGUAGCGGUGAAAUGCGUAGAUAUUGGGAGGAACACCAGUGGCGAAGGCGGCUCACUGGACCGGAACUGACGCUGAGGCGCGAAGGCGUGGGGAGCAAACAGG
rnacentral:rRNA from 1 species